AUACGAGAGCGGCUGCUGUCACGCCAGGCGGCAGACGACACGCGGGAAAGAGGAAGAGAGGCGUACGCCCUAGGGGACGUCCCCCUUCCGGAUUCGGUGGCGUCGCCGACAGGGAGGGGUGGACGGAGGGGUCGUGUGAGGCAGGCGCCGCCAGUCGAGCAGCUCGUCGAUAGCCGGUCGCGGCCCACACGCCAGCUCUUCCGCGACCGCGCGGGUGGGGCGGGCGGGGGCCGGUCGGCGAAGCGGGCCGCGGUCCGAGUCCCAGCCCAGUCCAGUCCACUACUUCCCUGCCGGCCACAACCGGCUUAUGAGCGGAGCAGAAGGGAUCAAAGCCGUCCGCGCAGCCCGGCGCGCCGCCGCGCCCCGCCGAUGAGCGCCGCGCUUGGCUGGCCAUGAAGGGCCUCUCCGCGGCGCUGCUGCUGCCGCUGCUGGCCUGGACCGCGGCCGCGGCCGACCGCGGGCUGUCGCGACACCGGAGGGCGGC